rnacentral:ribozyme from 1 species
UCCUCCAAACACCACAAAGACAAAAAGAAAGAUCGCAAAAAAGAUCGCAAAGAAGAGAAGAAAAGCAGAAAAAAAUAAUUGCCGAGUUUAAACCAACGCGCGCGUGUGCUCACGUGUUUGAAUAAAUUCUUUUUGUU